rnacentral:rRNA from 1 species
UACGUCAGUGGCAGACGGGUGAGUAACGCGUGGGAACGUACCUUUUGGUUCGGAACAACUGAGGGAAACUUCAGCUAAUACCGGAUAAGCCCUUACGGGGAAAGAUUUAUCGCCGAAAGAUCGGCCCGCGUCUGAUUAGCUAGUUGGUGAGGUAAUGGCUCACCAAGGCGACGAUCAGUAGCUGGUCUGAGAGGAUGAUCAGCCACAUUGGGACUGAGACACGGCCCAAACUCCUACGGGAGGCAGCAGUGGGGAAUAUUGGACAAUGGGGGCAACCCUGAUCCAGCCAUGCCGCGUGAGUGAUGAAGGCCCUAGGGUUGUAAAGCUCUUUUGUGCGGGAAGAUAAUGACGGUACCGCAAGAAUAAGCCCCGGCUAACUUCGUGCCAGCAGCCGCGGUAAUACGAAGGGGGCUAGCGUUGCUCGGAAUCACUGGGCGU